AUGCAGUGGUAGAGGUUGGGUGAGAAACGAGAAUGACACGUGUUGCUUCAUUAUCAAAAAGACCCAUCCCCGGCAAAGUCACCUGCAGAAAAAAAGGCCAGUUUGCAUUUCAAUCGAAGGUCAUGGAUAUCAUUACGUAAAAGGUGUCAGGCAUUGGUGUAGAGGUUGGGUGAGAACGGGACGUUUUGCUUCAUUAUCAAAAAGUUGACAGGGAUCAGUCGAGUGAGCAUCUCCGACACGGUAACAACUCCAUAUUUCGUCGUAAUAUCAGUUCGCAAUCAUGGUUAAUUAUGGCAUUGUGUUGCUGUUGGGUGUUGUAUCGUUGAUGUCGACCACGAGAGAAAAUCUUUCAAAAGGAAAGAGAAAAGGCAACAGAAGUCCAUCGAGUGAGCAUCUCCGACCCGGCAACAACUGCAUUCUUCGUCGUAUUACCAGGUCGCAAUCACGGUUAACUAUGCCGUCAUGCUGCUAUUGGUUGUUGUAUCGUCGAUGUCUGGGUCGACCACUGGUGUACCGACGUCUCCUGGAUAAGGCGGAUACCAAACCGCAACGCCACCACCUUAUUACUCAACAACAUACGCAACGACCAGAUACUACACCGAGGUUGCACUGUUGGGUUUACAGUUAAAUCACCAAGGAUCGAGAUUAUUACACCACAACUUGUGCUGCUCCUCGAGCUACACUACCAAAGCGCUAGAGUACUACACCGAGGCACCUACUGAGACUACGCAACUACGUAUGCUGCCCCAACCUACGACACCGAGGCUCCAGCUUAUUACAUUACCAAAGCUGUCGAAUUCUACAUUGGAUCGCCCAAGUACGACAGAAAUCACCAACACGGCAGCCCCGAAGUUUCGAAUAAACUUCGUUUCAAACAGUGUAACGGCAAAGAGUGAAGACAAAUUCGACUGCAAUCGCGUCGAAUUCAAUAGCAAAGAUAACACAUUCGUACGUGUACACCGCGCCGUUAAACUUGACAUUGUCGGUCGGCAAGCCGCACUUGACGAUGGCCGUACCAUCACCUACGACAAGUGCUUUAUUGUCACAGGUGUUAAACGAAAAUCUUUUCCAAUCCCUGAGCGGUGCCCUUAAAGAUGCCCACGAGCACGUAGCGCUGUUCCGCAACAUCGAUGGCGGUAACAUAGGUCGAGUUCUCCGUUCUCCCAAAUAUUUGAGCCAAUCGACAACCGAGAAGGGGAAAGUGGAAAGUGUUAAUGUGUUGCCCAAAGCCAAUGUUGAGGGUGCAAUUUUGGAAGAUUACAAGUUCGCAUUGACCUUAAACAAUGGUCAAAAGAUUUAAACUGACCAUGUCGUCGUUGCAUGUCGGUUGGGACGCAAACACGUCUGUUGCUUUUGGUUUGGAAAUAGAGGAGAUUUUGGUGGUUAUCGAGUCAAUACCGAGCUUGAAGCACGAUCGAAUGUUUGGUUGGUUGGAGAUGUUACGUUCUUUUGUGAUAUCAAAUUGGGUCGCUGUUGUGUGGAACAUUAUCACCAUGCUGUUGUAUUAGGGCGAUUGGCUGGAGAGAACAAUACUGGCAAAGUAUCAUGGAUGAAAAACUGCAGUGCACUGUUACCAAGUGCAUUCUUCGUCGUAUUAUCAGUACGCAAUCGGUUGAUUGUGAUGUCGUGAUGUUACCGUUUGCCGUAUCGUUGAAGGCUGGGUCGAUCACUGGUGUACCGAUGUCUCCUGGGUAUAGCGGAUACCUAAGCACCACGCCGCCGCCUUACUACACAACGACAACAUUCGCAAGAACCGGUUACUACACCGAGGCACACAAUUACUACACCACCAAGGCUCCAGAGUAUUACACCGCAGCUGAUGCUGCCCCGAGUUACAUCAUCAAACGUACUACACCGAGGCUCCAACUUAUUACACCACCAAAGCGGCUGAAUACUACACCGAGCCGCCCAAGUACUACACCAACAAGGCUCCAGAGUAUUACACCACAACUUGUGCUUGCUUCCCCGAGCCGCUACACCGAAUCCCCGAAGUAUUACUCUGCCCUAAGCUACACAACUACGACUGAGGCGACCAAGUACUACGCAGCCCCAACUUCUACACAGCGGCUGCUCCUUCGUACUACGUUGAAUUGGAAUACUACACCUAGGCUUCAGUUUACUACACCACAACCUACGCUACACCUAGAUACUACACCGAGGCCCCUAUGUAACUACCAAGGCACCUGAGUAUUAUAACACUACUUACGCUGCUCCGACCAACUACACCGAAGCUCCGAAGUAUUACUCAAUCCGAGUUACAACACCACUAAGGCACCUGAAUAUUACACCACACCUUCCGCUUCUCCAACUUACUACAGGGACGUUCCUAAAUAUUAUAACUAUGUUCAGAUUUGUCGGUCAUAUCUUAAUAGUUACUAGUCACUGGGAAUUGUUGAUCUUUAAUAGGGAAAUCAAUUUUUUUAAAACCUGGGUGAUCAUUGUGUACGACUUCUCUUGCCACCUAUCUUUCCUAUUUCGCAUGUUGGAGGUGACCUAUUGCUCUAGUCGCUCUGUAUUCCGACAUAUUCUAGUGUUUGGACAAACUUCAUUUACAGGGCAAGUAACGAAAGAGACAUGUGGUGUUUACUAAAAAUUUUUAAUGUUACUAGCUCUGUUUUUAACAUUAGUUGGUGUAACAAAUGAGUUGCAGAUAGUGUAUGGUUUAUCACAUAAGUUUAUUUGAAGGGUCUGGAGUUGAUCAGUCUAUUGCCAAUAACUUAUGUAAAACUUCAAAGUUGUAAAAAAUAUACAAAUUUGAACUAAA